GGAGGACUUGGUUUUAGAGAUAUUGAUCUCUUUAACCUCUCACUUUUAGCAAGGCAAGCAUGGCGCUUAAUUCAGUCACCCAACACCUUAAGUGCCAGAAUCCUACAAGCAAAGUAUUUUGCAACUACGUCUUUCCUUGAGGCAGAAUUGGGGGGCAAACCAUCUCAGAUAUGGAGAGCUAUCAUUGAGGGGAGAUGAGCACUUGAACAAGGCCUGAUACGGAGGAUUGGAACUGGAGAAGAAACCAACAUAUGCGAUCAUAAUUGGCUACCACGUUCGGGCCUAAUGAGACCUAUGGCGAGCUUGGUUGUUGACAAACCGCUACAUGUGACUGAGCUACUUGAUGCAACUGAGGCAAGGUGGAUAGAAGAGAAGGUGCGUACUGUUUUUCUGCCUGUGAACGCCAUCAUAAUACUAAAAAUACCACUCUGCACUACAAAAAUUGAUGAUUAUUGGGCUUGGGGAGAAGAUGAACGAGGAGUUUUUCAGUAA
rnacentral:rRNA from 1 species